AACGUGCUCCGAGAUGCGGUGGAAGUCCGCACCGGCGGUGACAGCCCGCUAACCGCGCGGCCCGUCCUCAUCCGAGGCGGUGCCGGGCGGCCUGACCGGUGGAAUUCCGGUGCCGACCGUACAGUCGGGAUGGGAGAGGCACGCG
rfam:Micrococcus luteus NCTC 2665, complete genome.